UACGUAGGGGGCAAGCGUUGUCCGGAAUCAUUGGGCGUAAAGAGCGUGUAGGCGGUUCUGUAAGUCGGCUGUGAAAGUCCAGGGCUCAACCCUGGGAUGCCGGUCGAUACUGCCGGGCUAGAGUUCGGAAGAGGCGAGUGGAAUUCCCGGUGUAGCGGUGAAAUGCGCAGAUAUCGGGAGGAACACCUAUGGCGAAGGCAGCUCGCUGGGACGUUACUGACGCUGAGACGCGAAAGCGUGGGGAGCAAACGGG
rnacentral:rRNA from 1 species